AUUGAACGCUGGCGGCAGGCUUAACACAUGCAAGUCGAACGAGCGGCGGACGGGUGAGUAAUGUCUGGGAAACUGCCUGAUGGAGGGGGACAACUACUGGAAACCGCAGCUAAUACCCCAAACCCUCGGCUGUGCCCAGACGGGAUUAGCUGGGAGGCGGGGUAAAGGCUCACCUAGGCGACGACCCCUAGCUGGUCUGGGAGGAUUCCCAGACACACUGGAACUAGUACACGGUCCAGACUCCUACGGGAGGCGGCAGUGGGGAAUAUGGCACAAUGGGCGCAAGCCUGAUGCAGCCAUGCCGCGUGUAUGAAGAAGGCCUUCGGGUUGUAAAGUACUUUCAGCGGGGAGGCGUUACCCGCAGAGGAAGCACCGGCUAACUCCGUGCCAGCAGCCGCGGUAAUAC
rnacentral:rRNA from 1 species